rnacentral:lncRNA from 10 species
AAAAGGACAAAUACUAAAUCCUCCUUCCCAGAAAUUUUCCCCAGUACUAUUGUAUCUUUGAGAGUUUCCGCACAUAGCACAUGUGCUUUCCUCUCUCAACACUGGCUGUUUUCACGCAAGCAAUAGGAUGUACCCACAAGGAAUGUAUCUUGCUUUUUAGAGUAAUGCUUCCUAAAGGAUGAGUAACAAACAUGCGUGUUUUAAGAAUUAACAUGCUGGCGGGGUGCAGGUGGCUCAUGCCUGUAAUCCCAGUACUUUGAAAGGCCAACGAGAGAGGAUUGCUUGAGCCCAGGAGUCUGAUACUGGCCUGGCAAUUUAUUUGGCAAUUCAGUAGGUGUAGAACUUCACGAUAUUCUCUGUGUCAUGUUGAACUAUUAUUAAUGAAGCUUAGAGAUGUGAAUAGUUUGGCCAAGGUCACAAAGCCAGUAAAAUUGAGAGAUAGAACCGCUAAAAGAUCGUUCCAGGUUUAAUUUUCCAUGCCUCUAACUUGAGUGCUAAUGGGUACAGGUAACCCCAUAGUAGGGGAUGCAUGAGAUGGCAAAACACUGCCAGCAGCACUUCCAGAGACAGCACCACCCAGCGCUGAUUGCCUGGAACACUGGUCUUAACAUUUUUUGCUCAUGUAACCCCCUAAG